AGAGUUUGAUCCUGGCUCAGGAUGAACGCUAGCGGCAGGCCUAACACAUGCAAGUCGAGGGGUAACAGGGAGUGCUUGCACUCUGCUGACGACCGGCGCACGGGUGAGUAACGCGUAUACAAUCUACCUUAUACUGGGGGAUAGCCUUUAGAAAUGAAGAUUAAUACCCCAUAGUAUGUAUUUGUGGCAUCACAGAUAUAUUAAAGGUUACGGUAUAAGAUGAGUAUGCGUCCUAUUAGUUAGUUGGUAAGGUAACGGCUUACCAAGGCUACGAUAGGUAGGGGCCCUGAGAGGGGGAUCCCCCACACUGGUACUGAGACACGGACCAGACUCCUACGGGAGGCAGCAGUGAGGAAUAUUGGACAAUGGGCGAGAGCCUGAUCCAGCCAUGCCGCGUGCAGGAAGACUGCCCUAUGGGUUGUAAACUGCUUUUAUACAGGAAGAAACAUCCCGACGUGUCGGGACUUGACGGUACUGUAAGAAUAAGGACCGGCUAACUCCGUGCCAGCAGCCGCGGUAAUACGGAGGGUCCGAGCGUUAUCCGGAAUUAUUGGGUUUAAAGGGUCCGUAGGCGGGCAGCUAAGUCAGUGGUGAAAGUCUGCAGCUCAACUGUAGAAUUGCCAUUGAUACUGGUUGUCUUGAAUUAUUAUGAAGUGAUUAGAAUAUGUAGUGUAGCGGUGAAAUGCAUAGAUAUUACAU
rnacentral:rRNA from 1 species